rnacentral:rRNA from 1 species
UACGAGGGGGGCGAGCGUUGUCCGGAAUCACUGGGCGUAAAGGGCGCGUAGGCGGCGCGGAUAGUCGGCGGUGAAAGCCCGGAGCUCAACUCCGGGUCGGCCGUCGAUACUUCCGGGCUUGAGCACUGUAGAGGCAGAUGGAAUUCCGGGUGUAGCGGUGGAAUGCGUAGAGAUCCGGAAGAACACCGGUGGCGAAGGCGGUCUGCUGGGCAGUUGCUGACGCUGAUGUGCGAAAGCUAGGGGAGCGAACGGG